GGCGGGCGUCGACGGACAGGAGGGUCAUGGGUGAAGACUCCCGGGGUGCGGCGGCCGCAGGUGGCAGCGGUGACGCUCCAGGGUUGGCUCUACAAGCAGGGCGCCGACGGCCUCCACCUCUGGAAGAAGCGCUGGUUCGUCCUAUCAGAGUACUGCCUCUACUACUACAAGGGUCCGGAUGAGGAGAAGGUGCUGGGGUCCCUUCCGCUGCCGUCGUUCAAGAUCAGCCCGGUGGACUCUGAAGACCGGGUGUACCGCAAGCAUGCCUUCAAGGCCGAGCACCAGAACAUGCGCACCUACUACUUCGCCGCCGAGACCAAGGACCAGAUGGCCCAGUGGAUGAACGCCCUCUCCCUCGCCACCAUCCUUCAGAAGGACACCAGCCUGGAGGAGAAGUGGGGUAGUGGAAGCAGUGCUCGACGCAGUGAGAGGCCCUCAGUUUCAUCCCUUGCAUCUACAGCGUCACCCUCGGCAGAUGAGAGUGACUCUGGCUUCCAUGGGUACCGUUCUCGAAGGUACCGGUCUCCGGAGGGAAGGUCCCUCGAUGAGGCAAGUGAAUCAUCGCGCGUGCAGGGUGACCGGCUCAAUACAUCAUGUGAUUCAUCAGUAAUCUUACGGCCUGGAGAUCGCCAACCUCUUUAUGCAAAUGCUCCGCCAAAACCUAAGCGCUUAAAUUCUUCUCGGGAUUAUAGCACUUCUCCAGAGCGAUCCCCUGAAAGAGACGAAAGAGAUCCACGCACAUAUACUGAUCAUGGUGGUGGUGGAAAUGGCACAAUUGAGACACAUAACCCAGAUGGUCGAGGCCUCCACUAUCACCCUCCUGCAGCUGAGAGAAGGACACCUGAUGCAUAUGGGGUGACAGCCGGUGGAGGCCGUGGAGACUAUGAAGAUGUUUAUGGGGACAGUAAUGGGUCAAACUCCAUUCCUCAAAGCCCUGUACGAAGGCCUGAUCAGCGAGACUCUUUUGCUUCUUCAAGAAGUGGUGGGACAAGACUGUCUGAAGAACUACAACUUUCAGAACCUUUAAGGUCAAACUUUUGUCGGCAAGACGAUACACUUCCCCGUGUCUCCCAUACAGAUCCUCAUAAAAAUCAUCGUCCAACAGGGCCUCCUCGCCCACAUAGUGCAGAUUUUCUCGACUAUAAUCGUAAGCACAAUAGCAGCAACAUGUGGUCUUAUCGACGUGGAAGUGGUGGAGAUCUAGCAAGACAUGAAGAAACAAGACCAAAAUCUUCGGUUGGUCAGAAUGAAUCAGAUCAUUGGUCUGAGGAGAACUAUGCUCAGAAGAUGCGCCAAUCAUCGCUGUAUCAUUCACACAUGCAUAGCAGAUCAUCAUCUCGUUAUUCACCUGCUGGACGUGGAGAAAGUCCAGGAAGUGAUCACCACCACAUGAACAGUGUUCAUGGGGGGGUGUCACAGCGUGUACCACCUGCUGGAGCUGCUACACCUGACUUGUAUAUAUCUCAUAAACCAGCUACCACACCAACACCCCCCAGUGCUACUAACAGCUUACGGCGGGGUGCUGGUCAAGAUUUAAAAGAAGUUCCAAGGCAAGAUGCUGGUCAGGAGUCUUGGGAAGAUCACAGACAAUAUCCACGCCAUGUGCUCCGGCAAGACGGUCGACAGGAGCGAAGAUCAGACACAAGACAGAAUCAUCGGCAAGACCCCUGUCAGGAUCAUCGUCGGGCAUACAACCACGAGGAACCUGUUUAUAAACAUGAGACAUCACCAAAUACUACUCUCAACAGUGUCCCUACUCCACCAGGCAGUUAUCCUAACAGUGCUUCUCCAAACGAUAGUGUCAACAACAGUUUCAUGAGAUCAGCGUCAGCAAGGUUACCUCGCCAUUGUUUGCAAGAUGAUAUGAUGAAUACUUCUUUGCAAGAUGAUGGUUCUGAUGGAGACAGUAAAAAGAUGCAGCAGCGUGAAGAAUCUAUGAAAAGGUUGCUUGAAUGGAAACAACGUAUGUUGCAGUCUCCUUUGACACGUAAAACCAAUUCUCGUCCUGAUGCCACUGCUACACCACAGCCCAGAACAAAUAAUGAGGCUUAUAGACAACAGGUGUUGAAUGAGCUUGUGACUCAAGAAGCCAGAACAAAAAUAAUCCAGAGCCAUGCUCAUACUCAAAGUCUUUUACCUGGAAAGGAGUCUGGUUUAAAAUCUCCAGGAACUACAAUAGGAAUGCCCCAGGGUUACACAGGUAACACAGUACUUGGUCAACCCCAUGGGUCAGCACAUUCUAUAGAAUGGGUUCCUGGUAACCUUCCUAAAAAUCAAGGACCCAUGAAUUAUGGUUCUAUGAACCUGGGUGGCUUAAGUUCACCCUGUGGGAUGCUUAAUGAAAGGCCAGCCCCUCAAGGUGGUGCAUCACACCAGGGGUCAGACAGCAGUAGUACCAAGAGGAGAGAAGGACGAAGAGAAAGUUCUAGAACUAGGCAUAUCAGCGGAGGGGAUUCUCGAAGAUCCACUUCAGCAUCACGAUACAACAGCUAUUCAUCCGAUGAAGAUGAUUUGUUGGAGGAGAGGGAAACCCGUAAAAGGACCCGACGUAACUCUAGAAGGAGCAGUGCUGAUCUGAGUCGUGAUAGCAGGCGCAUUGGAUCUGCCCCAGAGGGUUGGGGACGUGACAAUGAAGAAAGACCUGAAGAUUCUAGCGAUUUUCCUAGGGAUGACAUGACUGAGAAUCCUGCUGACCACUAUGGAUCACAACAAAUACCUCUUCCAGAUAUAACCACAUCAUCUCCAGAUUAUGUAAACAUAAAUAUUGUAAAUGAAGCACGUGAGGGUAAACAUUUUAGCACUCCCAGGGGUACCACAAAUAUUGUUGAUGUAGAAAAUAUGUACAAUGAGCGGACAGUGAGCCAGAGAGCUGUACCAGUUUUUAUUGAAAAACAUGAAGGAUUUGACGAAGUGCGAAAGUAUGAACCUCGGCAACAGGAAGCAGAAAAACAGUUGGGUGUGUCUAGAAAGUAUGAACAAAGUUAUGUGUAUAGUGAUCAGUUUUAUGCAACAAGAGACCCAUAUUAUGUAUCUGAUGUUCAAAUGCCUGCCGUGAAUGAUAAUAAAUUUGAAGAAGAAAAAAGUAAUAAUAAUCCUGUAAACACUGGAUUACACAAGGAGUUAAAUUCCUCAUAUGAUGCACAAAAUUCUUCACAAAGUAAGUUCCAGUCAAACAGCAGUUUCUUUGAACAAAGAGAUAAUAGCAAAGAAAGUGGCCUUUCGGCGGAGAAGAAUAAAAGUUUUCUUCAUAAUAUAUCAGGAAGAGAAGAAAGCCAUGAAAGUUCUGUUGGGUAUUCAUCAUAUGAAUCUCAUGCUGCCCAUAAAGCAGAGAUAGUUAACUUACAUGUGUCUCAGAGAGGUGUCAUACCGGAUGACACUACAUCUACUGGUAAAUAUUCAGACAGUGGCUAUGAUACCCUACGAGCUGAAAUGUCUCUUCACCGAGAUGAAAAGAGGAAUAUCAGAGGAGGUUCUCUAUGGAAUCCAGAUAGUUUAGAGAGCAGCCCAGAGUGUUCUAGUGUGGUUCGCAGACAAGGUUUUGAUCGCACUGCAAGACGACCAGAAACUUGGAGCCCAGAAAAGUUUGAUAGAUCAUGGGGAACAAUGGGUUCAGAUUUAAAAUCAAAAGUAGAUGAAUCAAAGGUAGUAAAGGAAUAUAGCUAUGAAUAUAUCACCCCAGAGAAGAAUUGUGAAUCAUCAUCAUCACAGGAAAAUUUCAAAUCCAAUUCUUUGAAAAAAUCCACUCCAAUCUUGCCAUGUUUAGAAAGUCCAAAGAUGGUGCAGGAAACUCACCAUCAAACACAAAGUCAAAUGAACUUAGUCCAAGACCGGAUUAGGAAAUUUACAAACAAAGUCUUAGAUACCAAAGAAAAUAAUGUGAAAAAUUCUGGGGAAUUACAUAUAACACAAGUAAGACAUUGUGAACCAAAGUCUAGAGUACAUAAUCAAACUGUUAAUAUUGAUUCUAUUGAGCAUCUAGUUGGCAAUAUGAGGGAACCCCUCAAAGAACCAUUGAAACCUAUUUCACCACAAGUUCGAAGUUCAGAAGCACUUGUUUCCCCACUAAAGGCAGAAUUUACAACAUCAGAAUCUACUAUGGUUACUGCCCAAGAAGCACAGGUUAAGAGUGUGUGUGAUUACAAAAAGAAAGAUGAAGUAAUUGGGGCUUCAAUUUCAGAGGAAAAUCCUUCAACAAGUCCUCCAUAUAAUUCAAGCUCAGAGCCUUUAAGUACUGAGUAUAGGGAACUUAGAAGUCCUCAGGAUAUUAUGGAUUCAAGACUGAGUCGAACCAACAUAAGAAAGUUUUUAUUUGAUGAUGAUAAUAAGCCUGAAGAAAUAAAGCAAAAUGAGCAGAUAGUUAAUCCUGUCAAGCCUCCUAUUAUGAAGAAACCACUUCAGCCUCGUUCAGUUAAGGCCCUUCUUAAGAAUUUUGAAGAUAAAUCAAUAGAGCACAUGGAGAGAGUUAACAUGAACCAAGAUUUAUCCAGAAAAAAGUUUCAUAGCGAUUCUGAAAUGUUAUCAAAUGAAAGUUCAAGUGAUGAAGGACAGAGUGAAGAUCUUUACACUACUGGCUCUGAGAAAAUAACAAAAGUGUUUGCCACGUCAUCUGUUUUAGCUGAAUUACGAAAGUCUGCAGAUGAUAAAAAAGAUGAUAUGGUCUCUCUUGUUCCCCCACCUAGACCACCAAAGAAGCCAACAUUGGGAGGAGAUAUGGAUGCAGUUGUUACUCCUGGAUAUCUAAGACUCAGUUUGGCAGAAUCCAUACAAGAGUCUCUUAAAGGUCUGGAUGAUAGUGAUAGUGGCGGUGAGGAACCUAGGUGGAUGGACAGUAUUCCUAAUAGUGAGCUUGUAAAAAACAACUUCCAGUUUCCAGAUAAUGAUAAUUCUAUCAUUGUUGACCUUGAUAAGCCUCCUGAAGAGGAAGCCCCUCCACCGCCAAUAUAUCUUCCUUCAAAUGACCUUCAGAGUCCCUUAAUACGUCCUAAUCCCUAUACCGAAGAAAACUAUUUGCCCAUGAGUCCACCUAAGAAACUUAGUCAGGGAUCAAGUAUUCUUGCCCCAGCUAGCUCAUGUAGUAGUCUAAGCAGUAAACACCUCCCCACACCAGAACCAGUAUAUCCAGAUACCUUUGCAAAAACUGAAUAUGAAGAACACACUUACAUUGAGAUGAGUGGAGACACAUCUUCUAACAGUGCUUCAAUCUACCCCUUAGGCGCUCCUCGACUUGAUUUCAGCAAAGUUGCUAGUGAGAUGUUUACUCCAGAAAGCCCAAGAUAUUAUGAAAUUGGUGAUAAAGAUGAGCCUCAGCAUUAUGAAUACAUUUACAGAGGACAGUCUCAUUAUGAAGCUAUAUACAUGGAAGUUCCAAAUUCAGAAAAUGAUGGCCCCAUGGAAGAUGAAAAACCUCAGAUUCCAGAUAAACCUGAUGAUCUCAAAGCACAAUCGAAUGCUGACAGGCCCUAUACAUCAGAUACUGCUCUAAAUUCUUCCCUCAACAAAUUAGAUUUGAAAUCUCAGUCCAAUGCUUCUUCUGAUGCAGAUGAUGAGGCAUCCAAAGACCUAGACAGUCUGGAUCCACCCCGCAACCCACGCUUUAGCUUAUCAGAUACCUUCAGACCAGCAUCCUAUUAUCUGAGUGGUGCAGAACCAUCCAGUGAUCCAGAUGCCCAGGAUUCCUCCGAUUCUGAUCUAGUCCCACCUCCUCCAAUACCAAUGAGCCCACCCCCGAUGGAUGAGCUAGAUAGUGGAGCCCCUAAAGCUAAAAACUUUGACUUUGAAAAUUUGGAAACCCCAGAUCCACCACCACAUUUACGAAAUGCUCUGAGCUCCUCAAGAUCAUUGAGGGUUAGCCAGAGCAGUCUUCGAGAAGACCUGAACUCCUCCAGGUCUUCAGUUGGAAAAGAUAGACGAACCUUCGAAAAAUCCGACUCUUCAGCUAGUCUUCAUUCAGAUAAGCUGAAGAGAAGACCUGUUUUUGAGGACACCCUUGAGUGCCUUCAUGAUGAUGAUAGCUUUAUCUUAAGGUCUGAGGAUAGAUACCCAGCAUCAGCAGCCUAUCCUGGGGACUAUACCAUGCCUGGAGCAGAGAAAAAAUUCCAGAGGGACAGGCGGAAACCCUUCCCUCAGUGUGCUGAAGAUGUUCUUCUUCCAGGGGACAAACAUGAAUCUUCUGCCAGGCCAAAAUCUGCUCUAGAUCACAAUUCUUCCUAUCAAAGCAAUUUAGAUAAUUCAUAUUCUUCCAACAAAAUUGAAAAUCCUUAUGUUAAUGAAGGUUUUCAGCAUAAUGCUCGACCAUCUAUCAACACAAAUCAGAUUCCACCGACUGGCAGAGAGUAUUGUAAUGUUCCUUCAAAUGCAAAAAUGUUUUCACAACCGGAGAGAGAAAGAUCAAAUUCCACUGGAUCACGACCAAAAUCUCCUGAUCCUUAUGCAGAGCGUAAUGAGUUGUGCACUUAUCAGAACGUACCUACACCAAGAACAUCCUUGUUGAGAAAGAGCUCUUCCCAGAUGCUCUCAGGCAAUUCUGAACCAACAGGAUCUCCCAUGAUUGAUGCACUUCGUGGAGUGCAAAGCCCAGUAGCCCACCUGACUGUAAGUCAUCAACGUACUUCAUCAGAAGCAUCAUCUCGGAGUGUGGUUAGUCCGACAGCAAGUGUUGUGUCAGGUGGGAGCAACUUGGCCCCAGUUCACUUAAGAGCAACUUCAAAUGCCUCUGUAGGCAGUGAGACUAGCCCUCGUUCUGCACCUUACUACUACUCAGAUGUAAUUCGUGAUGAUGGGGCAACAACAUUAGCUGAAGGGAUAGUAGGUACUCCUCGCUCUCGAUCUUAUCAACUGAAUAAUCAGCGUGAUCUUGAAGCAAAUAAGAGGCAAGACAUUGGAAGAAAAGUAAAUCAGAUCACUAGUGCUUCAGACUUUGAACAAAGACGUGAAAGGUUGGCUCAUGAGUUAAGAACUUCAGUGGAGUUUCUGGAGGGAAAGACAGUCACUUCCCCAGAUGAACGCAAUGUAUAUGACUCUGAUACCCUUAGAAAAAUGAAACGACGUGCAUAUACUCCAGAUCCAGAAGUAGAUGCUAAAAAUGUUUUUCCUCAUGGGCUGUCAAUCAAAACAGAUAGUCCUACUUCAGGACCUCCAGUAGGCCAUCGUAGAACCCGGUCUUUAGAGGGUCUUCUUGAUGAUCCACCUCGGACAUUUGUGGGAGGGGCUAGUAAUGGGCCAACUCCCUUGGAGAUGAAGCAGGUAUAUACUAGUGGUCCACCUCAUGUAUCAAACUGGACAACAUCUACAGUUCCACAAAUUGCUUCUGCUGCAUCACAUGGUGUGAGGGCAAGUCUAAAUAGUUCUAUUAAUUCUAAUCCUUCCUCACCACCAUCUACACUUACCUCUCAUCGUGGGGCAUUCUCUCAGUUGACUAGUCAACGAGCUUCUGUUAGUAGUCUCCAUAGCAGUGGAAGUGUACCUCAAAGAGCCACCUCACCUUAUGCAACCUCACCUUUGCCAAUACCUCUUAUGCUACCAUACCAGGUGUGCAAACGUGACAGUCUAGUUAGUAAAGACAGUUCUGUCAGUCGUGUUUCCUAUCAUGAGUCACUAAGUCCCCAUGAGCUACAGAGUCCCACAAAUCAUGAUAUUUUACCAGAGGAACAGGAUUGGGAAGAUGACAGUCAGUGGCGUGAACAACUUCGGCGUGCCUCCCUUAGACACACUCGAUCUCUUGAAACCUUAGAUGAAGGCCGGCCGAGACGGCCAGGUGAUGGCAGUAACAAUGAGUACCACCCACCUACCAGAUUGAGUGUGCCAAACAACCCAUCUCAAGCUGUAGAAGAUACAAAUCACCAAAGAUUACUACAACUACACUUAGACGAAUACACAGUGGAUUAUCGAGAGGGCCGCAUUCAUUCCAACCAGUACAGAAACACUGGUGGUUUGCACUCUGAAACUCUUGAGAGAACACGAAGAGGACUUACAUGUUUAGAAGGUUAUGAAUGGGAUGAAGCUGAAGAAAAGUUCAAGAAGCCAAGUCCAUCAGGACGUCUUCAGCAGCAACUUCCCCAACAGCCACUCAGCAGUGUACAACACCAGCCUUUUUUAGCCGACGGCCUCCCGCCUUCACCCGAGAUGGAAUGCGAGGACCAGCGUCAGUGCCGACAGAGCCCGGCGUUGCCCUCCGCCCCCGCCCCACCCUCUCCACGUCCGCAUCUGCAGCAACCUUUUUUAGCGGGCGGCGGUGAGAGCUUGGAGGCAUCCUCGGGGAUAGGAGGGAGGCCCCCUGGUGAAGGUGAGGGGCAACAGGAGAAGUUGGUUGCCUCACCCACAGCAACUCCACCUCCAGAAUGCACAUCAUCCACCACCAUCACCACACAUCCUGUUCCUGACGUCAUCCCGCCACAAGAUGCUAAAGUGGGUGAAAGUCUUCCUCGCCGACCGGAUCCCAACGCCCCUACCUCCUCUGGCCCUCAGGGAUCAGCACACGCCCACCCACACGCCCAUCCCAAGUUCCAGCAUCACCCACACGCCCAUCACCAGAAUCAUCAGCACCACCCUCAUCCCCAUUCACAAAAUCAAUACCACCAUUACAAGAGCGACGACUUGCACAACAAAUAUCAAAUAUAUCCUGGUCAAAAUUACCAAAGCAAUGGGCCUUAUGCUAACUACCACGGGAGCCAAAAUUAUCCUCAUGGCUACCCGGAGGAUAACAUUAACUACCCUAAUAAUUACAAGCCAGCUCACAGUCGACCACCAAAUUACCAGGAGAGCCAACAGACUCAACAGGUUAAUCCAAACAGUGAAUACAAUACCCUUAACAGCCAGCGCGGCGGGAUGAACGGCACGUAUAGACCCAGUCACUACGAUUUCCAGGACUAUCACAACUUCAAGAACCACCAGCAGGAUUACCAGAUCAACAAGCAGGAAUUCCAGAACGGCCACCAGGAUUACAAGAACCCUCAACUUGAACCUGACUACAAGAACGCUGAAUACGGUACAUACGGGCGACAUCGCGACCCGGCGCUCAAUGGCCGCGUACCUAACGCCACCCACCAGCAGCAGUUUUCCGACUCUGAGCUUACGGUAUCUAAACAGCAGCCACCAGCAGCACCGCCAGUGGGGGCGCAAGAGAGCGUGGAGGUGCGGGGGCUGCAGGGGGUGAGCGCGGGAGAGCUGUUGGGCAAGACUCACGAGGAAUUGGUAUUACUGCUAAUCCAGCUUCGCAGACAUCACUCGGCGCUCCAGGCCGCCAGACACCACGCGCGCCUUGAGAGAGACUCCCAGGCUCGUCUGGCACAACUGGAUGGGGAGCAUCGCGAGGAACAUCUUCGGCGUCUCGCGACCCUCAACCACCACCUCCACGACCUAGACAAGCAGCAGUAUGAAAUGGGUAAACCACUCAUCAACCUUGUGGACAACAUGGUCAAACUUGGAUCCCUGUAUCGAGGAGGAGACUCCAGACUUAUUGCUCAACAGGACCCAAGGAGAUCUCGCUCAUACUAUCCGGCAAAUGGCUAUGAUUCACUUCAAUUCUCUAGGAGAAUACAGGAGAGGAGAAUAGUAGCAGAAGAUUUACAGCUACAAGAGUAUGAAUUAGCAGCAGCAGAUCAAGCUGACCUGGAGGGAAAAGUGAUGCAAUUGUAUAAGUUGGACAAGAACCUACAUCAAGAAUCACUGACCAUUCAGAGCUUGCAGAGAGAGAAGGAGAUGCUGGAGCGCACCCUUGUUAAUCUUCACUCCAAGUCUCAUGGAGCAAAUGAAGGACCAGUAGAGCUUGAGCGCAGAAAGAAACAGAGAAGACAUUUGGAACACGAGCUUUCCAAACUUCGUGCUCACCUUGCUGUAUCUGCAAGGAAACUAGAAGAGACUGCAGCUGAGAAUAGUCGUCUAGAGCAUGAAAUGAUGAUGUUACGGCAAAAGAUUCAGAUGACAAUGGCCCGUAAUUCUCAAAGGGAAUCUGGCGGCACAGCUGAAACACGCCAUAUUGAAGCAGAAAUGGUUCGUGUCCAAACACUAUUAGAAGAUCUUCAGAGGCGAAGAAUUGAGCUUAGUCAUCAGAUUCAAAAAUUAACAUCAGCAAAUCCUGGCAUAGAAAUUCGACCUUCACCAACAGGUGUGGUAGGAGCAGCUCCGGUGCCUGCAAGACGGAGAACUCAUAGCACCUGGCUAGAAACAGACUUGGAUGCAAUGAUUACCCGAGAUAGAGGGAUGGAUCCUCCAGAAAAUGACAGAAGAGGCAAUCCUCCAGUCUAUGUUAAUGCUGCUGGAUAUGUAGAAGAGCUGAGCCCCAAUGACUACCCAGAGAGUCCUGACUAUAUUGACUCUGACUAUCCUCCACCUCCACCGCCACCUGAACACAUGCGCUCUUAUAAUCAACUUCUUGAUGGUCAGACAUCAUUGGCAGAUCCAUAUCAGACAGAUGUUAGAUAUCUUCACUCACAGUCAACUUUAGGAGAGUCAAAACGAAGACAGCCUUUAAUGAAUGGAGAUAUAAUUCUGGAUGCCAUGACUGGUUUGGAUCGCGAUGCUGACGACAACAAACCUGAUGGUGAAGAACAGCAGCAGUCUGCAGGUCAUUUGGAUAUUAAUGAUGCUGACGAUAGAAUGAAGAGAUAUUAUGGUAUUCUUCCAAAAGAGAAGCCUUUAGAGAUCAAGACUGUACGAAUAGUCAAGAGAGAAUCAACUGAACGAAAAAAAGAUCGUGGUACAGGGGGGAAGCGUGUUACAAUUGGAGAUUCCACCUUGACCCAUUUAUUGGAGGAUGAUGUUGAAAGUGAUGCCAUGUCAGAUGUUGAAAAUGGUCCUUCAAUUCCUUCAUUUGCAUCAAGGUCUGCUUCAUUACCUCGCAACUAUGGCCGUAAUGGUCCAGGAGAAAGAGUCAGCAUGAUGGCAGCUAUGAUGCGAACUAGCAUUGGAAAUGCUGGGACGAUGUCUCGUCCUAGCAAUUUAGCUCUCAAAAAGUCAGCAGGUUGGAAAUCUAAGACUGAGAACCCCAAAGACCGGCCUUUGAGUGCACAUGAACAGCUUUUUGGUUUUGCUCGGGAAUUUGACCAAACCCCCCCAGCAUCCCCAGCCAAAUCGGACCCUCCCUCCCCAGUGUUCAAAAGUGCAGCAGCUCAGGAAAUUAUUAAGGAAAUGGCCUCUGAGGCAGAAAAGCAUCGCCGUGCAGUACCUAAAGAGAAGAGACGGCAUUUUACAAUCUCCAGCAGCCGGCCAAUAACAGAAGCGAGAGAUGCUGGCGCAGAGGAGGGUGCAAGAUCGAGGGAUGACUGCGACAUGGUCCGUGCAUUACGACCACGUAAUCACCCAGAUGUUGUCAAAUCAACUCUAAGUACUCGAGAUCUCCGGUUUAAUGAAACAACAAUUGACUCAGUUCUUGGUGCCCCAAGUAAAAUCUACAUUCCAGAAAGAUAUAUGCCAGAUGAGGAUGAUGAAAAAGAAAUAACUGAAGAAGAGCGUGCACUUAGAGAACAGAAAGCAGAAUCCAUCCGCAAGAUGCUGUCCGAGACACAGACCACAGCCACAAAGGGGGAGACAGGAGAGGACCAGUCAUCGGAAAGUGAAAUCACAUCCAGUUCCUCCUCAGCAUUCAAAGCCAAGGUAGCAGCCGAGAAGAAGGAGCGUGAACACCUUCUGGCCUUGAACCAGAUUCUUGCUCGUCAGGUCAUGGAAAAGAGUCGUGUAGUAGCAGCUCACACCACAGUGGAGCCUGAGCUGUAGCUGGCCAUGUAGCAGCAGGUGGGUUGACCAACCGCAUAGAGCUCUCCUCAGGCUGAGCUUAAAGCUGAUGCUUCAGUUAAGAGCUCUAACCAUGUUGACCAAGCAACCUAGUUCUUCCGAUGAUGACCUCUCACCAAUGCAGCCACUUCCUCUUGUGCAGCAGCGGGAAAACUACCUCGUCUAGAGAACCAG
rnacentral:misc_RNA from 1 species